CCCUUGGAACAGGGUAUCAGAGAGGGUGACAAUCCCGUACUUGACACGACGACCGGUGCUCUGUGAUACGUUCUCUACGAGUCGAGUUGUUUGGGAAUGCAGCUCAAAAUGGGUGGUAAACUCCAUCUAAAGCUAAAUAUUGGUGGGAGACCGAUAGCGAACAAGUACCGUGAGGGAAAGAUGAAAAGCACUUUGGAAAGAGAGUUAAACAGUAUGUGAAAUUGUUGAAAGGGAAACGAUUGAAGUCAGUCGUGACCGUUGGGUUCAGCCGGUUCUGCCGGUCUACUCCCUUCGGUCGGGUCAACAUCGGUUUUGACCGGCGGAUAAGGAAGGGAGGAAUGUGGCACCCUCCGGGGUGUGUUAUAGCCUCUCGUCGCAUACGUCGGUCGAGACCGAGGAACGCAGCUCGCCUUUAUGGCCGGGGUUCGCCCACGUCCGAGCUUAGGAUGUUGACAUAAUGGCUUUAAACGAC
rnacentral:rRNA from 1 species